UGGGGGAUAUUGCACAAUGGGCGAAAGCCUGAUGCAGCGACGCGGCGUGGGGGAUGAAGGCCUUCGGGUUUUAAACUUCUUUUGCUCUGAACAAGGCAUGCCUUUGGGUUGUGUUGAGUGUAGGGUUUGAUUAGCGCCGGCUAACUACGUGCCAGCAGCCGCGGUAAUACGUAGGGCGCGAGCGUUGUCCGGAAUUAUUGGGAGUAAAGGGCGUGGAGGUGGCUGGUUGCGUCUGUCGUGAAAGCUCAUGGCUUAACUGUGGGUUUGCGGUGGGUACGGGCUGGCUUGAGUGCAGUAGGGGAGGCUGGAAUUCCUGGUGGAGCGGUGGAAGGCGCAGAUAUCGGGAAGAAUACCGGUGGCGAAGGCGGGUCUCUGGGCUGUUACUGGCGCUGAGGAGCGAAAGCGUGGGGAGCGAACAGG
rnacentral:rRNA from 1 species